GUCUAUAGCCAUGCCACCCUGAACAAGCCCAAUCCCAUCUGACCUUGGAAGCUAAGCAGGGUCGGGCCUGGUUAGUACUUGGAUGGGAGACCACCUAGGAAGACCGGGUGCUGUAGGCA
rnacentral:rRNA from 1 species